rnacentral:rRNA from 1 species
GCCGGGGCUUCUUCUCCUGCUACCGUCAUCAUCUUCGCAGGUGAAAGAGCUUUACAACCCUAAGGCCUUCUUCACUCGCGCGGCAUGGCUGGAUCAGGCUUGCGCCCAUUGUCCAAUAUUCCCC